rnacentral:rRNA from 1 species
GAUGAACGCUGGCGGCGUGCCUAAUACAUGCCAGUCGAACGCUGAAGGAGGAGCUUGCUCUUCUGGAUGAGUUGCGAACGGGUGAGUAACGCGUAGGUAACCUGCCUGGUAGCGGGGGAUAACUAUUGGAAACGAUAGCUAAUACCGCAUGACAACAGUUAUUGCAUGAUAACUGUUUAAAAGGGGCAACUGCUCCACUACCAGAUGGACCUGCGUUGUAUUAGCUAGUUGGUGAGGUAACGGCUCACCAAGGCGACGAUACAUAGCCGACCUGAGAGGGUGAUCGGCCACACUGGGACUGAGACACGGCCCAGACUCCUACGGGAGGCAGCAGUAGGGAAUCUUCGGCAAUGGACGGAAGUCUGACCGAGCAACGCCGCGUGAGUGAAGAAGGGUUUCGGAUCGUAAAGCUCUGUUGUAAGAGAAGAACGAGUGUGAGAGUGGAAAGUUCACACUGUGACGGUAGCUUACCAGAAAGGGACGGCUAACUACGUG